rnacentral:rRNA from 1 species
AACGAACGCUGGCGGCAUGCCUAACACAUGCAAGUCGAACGAGACCUUCGGGCCUAGUGGCGCACGGUUGCGUAACGCGUGGGAACCUGCCCUUAGGUUCGGAAUAACUCGCCGAAAGGCGUGCUAAUACCGGCUAAUGUCUUCGGACCAAAGAUUUAUCGCCCUUGGAUGGGCCCGCGUUGGAUUAGCUAGUUGGUAGGGUAAAAGCCUACCAAGGGGACGUUACAUAGCUGGUCUGAGAGGAUGGUCCGCCACACUGAGACUGAGAAACGGCCCGGACUCCUGGACGAUGGGGCAAUGGGUGAUACAGCAAUGUGGCGUGAAGGAAGAAGGAGCUAGGCUGGGAGAGUGCUGAAGGCCGGAAGGAAGUAAAGCUCGUUAACACCGGAUGAUAAUGACGGUACCGGGAGAAUAAGCACCGGCUAACUCCGUG